UGAACACUAAAGGCCUUCAGAAUAAGAAAUUCUUCAAUAGAGGAUUUAGCAUUCAACUUGGAACUAUUACCAGAUAAAGAAACACCUGUGAUUAUAAGAUUAAUAGCAGAUCUAAUGUUCAUGCUUUUAUUAUUGAAUCUACAUUGGUUCCUACAAAACCAAAUAACAUUAAAAAUAUUGACCACUGCUGACAGAAUCACAAGAUUGCAAAGAGGAGAGUAUUGAGAUGAGCAAAGCUUGAGAGGAUCAACCAGAGUUGAGAAGAUACGCUGCUUGUUGAGAAUUGUACCAAUCCAGUUCCAAAGAUGAUUAGCAAAAGCGCAAUCGAUAAAGAGAUGAUGGGUUGUUUCUGCAGAAAUG
rnacentral:lncRNA from 1 species